rnacentral:rRNA from 1 species
GACGAACGCUGGCGGCGUGCCUAAUACAUGCAAGUUGAGCGCUGAAGGUUGGUACUUGUACCAACUGGAUGAGCAGCGAACGGGUGAGUAACGCGUGGGGAAUCUGCCUUUGAGCGGGGGACAACAUUUGGAAACGAAUGCUAAUACCGCAUAAAAACUUUAAACACAAGUUUUAAGUUUGAAAGAUGCAAUUGCAUCACUCAAAGAUGAUCCCGCGUUGUAUUAGCUAGUUGGUGAGGUAAAGGCUCACCAAGGCGAUGAUACAUAGCCGACCCGAGAGGGUGAUCGGCCACAUUGGGACUGAGACACGGCCCAAACUCCUACGGGAGGCAGCAGUAGGGAAUCUUCGGCAAUGGACGAAAGUCUGACCGAGCAACGCCGCGUGAGUGGAGAAGGUUUUCGGAUCGUAAAACUCUGUUGGUAGAGAAGAACGUUGGUGAGAGUGGAAAGCUCAUCAAGUGACGGUAACUACCCAGAAAGGGACGGCUAACUACGUG